GGGCCCACCCAGCCAACUACUGGCCCAGACUUGGCCCGCGGAGAGAGCAGACAGGGAACGCCGGGAGCAGGACCGGGCGCGGAGGGCUGGGGCCGGGGACCCGGGGCGGCGGGUCCGAGUGGGAGAAAGGAGCGGCGGAGGGGGCCUAGAGUUACUCGGGCUCCCGGGACUCCCCGAAGGGCAGAAAUAAGUUUCUAAAAAUAGGCAGCGGCCUGCCGGAAGAAUGUUCCAGCCUCCGGUGAACCAGUCUUCCUAGUGAGAGCACGAGAAGCCCGUUGUCCUUCAUUCCUCAGCUAUGGAUUUCCCUGAAAGUUGAGAACUGACCAUAUUCUCGAUGCCUCCUCCGACCUGUGAUUUCAUGACUCACAUCGCUUCCCCAGAACCUGCUUAACAGACGGGAUUCCUGAGAAUGGAGCAGAGUUUGAAUUCAGAGUCCUGGCUUUGCCAUACCAGCAGUUAUAAUUGUCCUUCUGUUGUUUGAUGACCUCCCUGCCCUGCUUCAAAAGGAAGAGAAAUCAAAGAGUUGACGACCCUGAGCGCAAGGCCUGGGACGUUCUUCCCCAAACUCGCUUUAAUAUCACCUUCUCAAAAGAACUCUUCCCUGAACACCUUGUCUCAA
rnacentral:lncRNA from 10 species